CCGUGCCCAAGAGAUCGGGAUAACACCUGGAAACAGAUGCUAAUACCGGAUAACAACAGAUGAUGCCUAUCAACUGUUUAAAAGAUGGUUCUGCUAUCACUCUUGGAUGGACCUGCGGUGCAUUAGCUAGUUGGUAGGGUAGCGGCCUACCAAGGCGAUGAUGCAUAGCCGAGUUGAGAGACUGAUCGGCCACAUUGGGACUGAGACACGGCCCAAACUCCUACGGGAGGCAGCAGCG
rnacentral:rRNA from 1 species